CCUGAGUCAGGCAGUGGAGAGAAGGCAGGCAGAGCAGCAGGGAAAAGAUCUGUUUUCAGAAAUGGGCCUGGAUUCCUCUGAGACUGAAAGGACUCCAUUGGAUACCAGAGAGAGGCCGCUGGGUGACAGAAGGAUGCCAGCAAGACCUCCUCAUCCAUCUUUUCAUGGUGGCAGAAGGGAAGCAGUGGCUGUGGAACCAGAUCAGGUUGGGGGCCAGGAUUCAGCUAACCAGCCCCAUGAGUUUCACAGGGAGGCUUUCCCUCCCCACCCCUCCAUGUACCCACAUGUGCCCCUUGAAAUUGGCUUUAGGGCAUUGGGAGGGUCCCCCCUCCCCCUCCCCUCCCCCAACAUUUCCUAGGCUGAGGG